rnacentral:lncRNA from 1 species
AUGCUGAUGAACGUCUCUCCCUUAAUCAGACUACAAAUGUCAUAUGUGAUGAGUAUUCUAUUUCAGGAUAACAAAGUUUUCAGGGAAGGAGGAGAGGUAGCUGCUCUCCGUCUGAGUAAUUUUACCUGGUUUCACACUAUUAGAAUUUUGGUCCAACCAGCAUCAGACUGUGUUUCAGUGACUCAACAUGCCACUUUUAGGGAGCCAGUCUUUAUAUUGUUACACAUUCUUCUGCCAUUUAUUUAUUUGGAAACAAAUCCAGGAAAGGUUUACUCUGAUGGAGCAUUAACUUGCAUUAUGGAAUUCAGAAUCACUGGGGGCCAUAAUGACUAUGAGACUGGCCCAGACUGGGGCCCCAUCCUGCCAUUUUGUUUGGAGGUAGUCUUUAUUUUGCUAUACUUAAAUAUUUUUUAAACACUGUGGUUAAGCUGUGACCCUUAACCAGUGAAGUCUUAAUUUUCAAUAUUUUUGUCUAAUUCUGUAUAUAUAACUUAUUAUAUUUACACUCUCAAUAAACAAAAAGUUGUACAGACU